rnacentral:rRNA from 1 species
GCCAGACUCCUACGGGAGGCAGCAGUGAGGAAUAUUGGUCAAUGGGCGGGAGCCUGAACCAGCCAAGUCGCGUGAGGGAAGACGGUCCUACGGAUUGUAAACCUCUUUUGCCGGGGAGCAACGGGGUCCUUGCGAGGGCCCGAUGAGAGUACCCGGAGAAAAAGCAUCGGCUAACUACGUGCCAGCAGCCGCGGUAAUACGUAGGUGGCAAGCGUUAUCCGGAUUUACUGGGUGUAAAGGGCGUGUAGGCGGGAGUGCAAGUCAGAUGUGAAAACCACGGGCUCAACCUGUGGCCUGCAUUUGAAGCUGUACUUCUUGAGUACUGGAGAGGCAGACGGAAUUCCUAGUGUAGCGGUGAAAUGCGUAGAUAUUAGGAGGAACACCAGUGGCGAAGGCGGUCUGCUGGACAGCAACUGACGCUGAGGCGCGAAAGCGUGGGAAGCAAACAGGAUUAGAUACCCGUGUA